AAGCAGAUUAACACGACGACAGCUGAUAGCACGUCAGAGACACGCUGACGAAACGAUCGUUCGUAUUGUAACGUAAUGUUUUAUAUCACAAAGUUUGAGGAGAAGAAGGGAGGCCUGUGACCUUCGGGCAUGGAGGACCACGAGAUUCAGGAGCUGGUGAACUUCAAUGAUGACGUCAUCGUUGGAGCCGACCUUGCUUCCUCCUCCUCAUCCGACAGUUGCAUCCUGUACGAGAUGUAUGAUAAGCUAUAAUAAACUCAUAAGAGUAAUCCCCAAGGAGGUCAAGCGAUAACCCCCGUAAGAAGAAGCACCACUCCGACAUCUUGGAUAUGCGGACGUUCACCACUAUUGGUUUACUGCAUCGGUCAAUGAGACUUCGAUUUGGCACCUUUUGUCAAUCUUUUGACAACGUUCAUUGCGAUUGUCUGGCUUAAAAAAGAAAUAAAAAAAAAAGAAAAAAAAGAAAAACAAAAAAAAAAAGAAGAAGAAAAAUAAAUGAAUAAAAAAUGAAAAUAUAAAAGGAAAAAAGAGUAAAAAGAGAA